rnacentral:tRNA from 1 species
GGGGCUGUGGUGUAACUGGCAGCAUGACGGACUUUUAAUCCGUUCGGUGAGGGUUCAACUCCCUUCUGCCCCA